AUCAGUAAGCGGAGGAAAAGAAACUAACAAGGAUUCCCUUAGUAACGGCGAGUGAAGCGGGAAGAGCCCAGCACCGAAUCCCCUGGUUUUGCGCGAGCGGGAAUUGUGGUGUUUGGGACGCCUAUCGGCUGCUGUGUCCCUGUGCCCAAGUCCUUCUGAUCGGGGCCUUUCCCAUAGUGGGUGUCAGGCCUUUAGCGGCACGGGACUAGGCGUCGUUGAGCGUCCUUGGAGUCGGGUUGUUUGGGAAUGCAGCCCUAAGCGGGUGGUAAACUCCAUCUAAGGCUAAAUACUGGCACGAGUCCGAUAGCGAACAAGUACCGUGAGGGAAAGUU
rnacentral:rRNA from 1 species